AGAUAGUGUGUAUCGGAAGGUGUCCCUAGGAGUAAUAUA
rnacentral:rRNA from 1 species